GUCUAAGGCCAUACCACCCUGAACAUGCUCGAUCUCGUCUCAUCUCGGAAGCUAAGCUGGGUUGGGCCUGGUUAGUACUUGGGUGGGAGAAGUUUACAAAAGUCAAUCACCAUUGCAC
rfam:Erinaceus europaeus unplaced genomic scaffold scaffold00077, whole genome shotgun sequence